GGGAGGCAGCAGUGGGGAAUCUUAGACAAUGGGCGCAAGCCUGAUCUAGCCAUGCCGCGUGAGUGAUGAAGGCCUUAGGGUCGUAAAGCUCUUUCGCCGGAGAUGAUAAUGACAGUAUCUGGUAAAGAAACCCCGGCUAACUCCGUGCCAGCAGCCGCGGUAAUACGGAGGGGGUUAGCGUUGUUCGGAAUUACUGGGCGUAAAGCGCACGUAGGCGGAUCAGAAAGUUGGGGGUGAAAUCCCAGGGCUCAACCCUGGAACGGCCUCCAAAACUCCUGGUCUUGAGUUCGAGAGAGGUGAGUGGAAUUCCGAGUGUAGAGGUGAAAUUCGUAGAUAUUCGGAGGAACACCAGUGGCGAAGGCGGCUCACUGGCUCGAUACUGACGCUGAGGUGCGAAAGUGUGGGGAGCAAACAGGAUUAGAUACCCUGGUAGUCCACACCGUAAACGAUGAAUGCCAGUCGUCGGGUAGUAUACUGCUCGGUGACACACCUAACGGAUUAAGCAUUCCGCCUGGGGAGUACGGUCGCAAGAUUAAAACUCAAAGGAAUUGACGGGGACCCGCACAAAAGGG
rnacentral:rRNA from 1 species